AGUGAACGCUGGCGGCGUGCUUAACACAUGCAAGUCGAACGAGAACGGAUUAUAGCUUGCUAUAAUUGUCAGCUAAGUGGCGCACGGGUGAGUAAUGUAUAGGUAAUAUGCCUCUUACUAAGGGAUAACAAAUGGAAACGUUUGCUAAUACCUUAUACUCCUUAUUAACAGAAGUUAAUAAGGGAAAGAUUUAUUGGUAAGAGAUUAGCCUGUAUUGUAUCAGUUAGUUGGUGGGGUAAUGGCUUACCAAGACUAUGACACAUAACUGGUUUGAGAGGAUGAUCAGUCACACUGGAACUGAGACACGGUCCAGACUCCUACGGGAGGCAGCAGUGGGGAAUAUUGCACAAUGGACGAAAGUCUGAUGCAGCAACGCCGCGUGGAGGAUGACACAUUUCGGUGCGUAAACUCCCUUUAUAUGAGAAGAUAAUGACGGUAUUAUAUGAAUAAGCACCGGCUAACUCCGUGCAAGCCGCCGCAGUAA
rnacentral:rRNA from 1 species